AAGCCCAUUUUCUUACUCCCACCAUUUCACACUAUGAAAAGUGAAAACAUGGGCAUGAGAUAUAAACAGAGAACUGGAAACCCUACAACGGAGCACCACCACCACAGCCUUAUCUUAUUCCACCGUCCUCUCCGUCUGAUACCUCGCAUUUGCUCUAUAAACCGAUGUUGAGGAAUAUCGAGACAAAUUUGGUCAAAAUGAUGCACGAUUGCUACAUUACAAUACAGUAGAACUGGAGUUGACAUGGAUAUUUUCAUGUCGAGUUUUGACUCUUGACGAGAAGCUGCUUGAUAAUCUGUACUUUUUUUUUCAUAAUAACAUGAUUGUGCUCUCUCGAAAAUGUGGAAGGAAACUUUAUAAUUUACAAGAAUCUUUUAGUUUUUUUGGAAUUUUUUUAACAAACAGUGUUUAUUUGCCACAAGAAGUUUAUAGAAAUCAUAUUUAUAAGUUUGCAUAUUUGUUAUAAUGAAGCUCAUUUCUUGAUUCUUUGGAUCAGUGUACAUGUUUUGGUUAACUGAGAGAUCCCUUUUUCUUAUCCUCAUCAUCAUAUGCAUAUUUCCUUUCUCCAUUGAAUCAGCAUGGACAAUUUUCAGAAUGUAUGAAGUAUCUUUUCCAUCUAUGGACUGAUAAUAGUUCUUAAUUGGUCGAGUAGGAACAACAACGAAGCACUCAUAGUAGUUCCAUACAUUGUUGUUUAAAAACCUUUUUAAAAACUAGAUCAAUUCUAAGUCAACUAUGGAUGGUGGUCUACGCAGGAUGAAUGAGAACUUUCUGCAAAACCAAGGAUGUGUAAGUUGCCUUUCAGUGAGGACUUUAUGCAGAUCAACAUUAAAUAUCUUUUAUUUAUUUAUUUAUUUAUUUAUUUAUUUAUUUUUCUUUUAAAAGCUAACAGAUCAACAUUGCACAUGACAAUUCUUUUUAUUUUCUUCAUUCUUACCAUUAUAUUUACCAAGUCCUUCACUAUGAUAAAGAAAUGAGUUAUGAAAGUUGUAAGAAAAAAGAUUGGUAUGAAGGCUUCAUAUAUUCAUUAAGG